CUUUCUUAAUCAGUAUUACUAACUUACAUAGAGUGAUUAAAUGCUUUGCUUAUUUUCUCUAUCAUUAAGCUUACCUUUUGGCUAUAGGCACUGCUCUAUAUUUGCAUCGUUUUGAAAUGCAGGGUAAAAUAUGCUUAUUUCUUCAGUUGGUGUCUGUAUACUUCCUGUUAACCCUGUCAGUUGGCAAAGCUUCUGGUGUCAUAUAGCAGAUUUGAACAAAAUGUCACUGUUUAAAUUUAAGCAGAAUGUCUUCGCUCCAUCUGAGCUUCCUAGAUGUGAGCGGGUUCCAUUUAGUUCACUGGUUCUUGAGCGGACAAAGGUUGGAGAGUUGUUUAAACAGUGUGCAAGUGAGUUGAAAGAAGCCAAACUGCUGAACAUAAUUCAACUGUGUCCAAAAAAAAAAAAAACCACAGAUGAUUGAUAAUGGAGAAGUAACCGGGGGCUUGGGAAGGCAAAGAUGGAUCUUGUUAGCAGCCUGUUGGAACCAGAACCAACGAAAAGAGCAAUUGUUGCCAAGUUUUUCUCACAUAGAGAAUGGAGGUGAGAGGGGUGCUGUUGGCUUUGUGCAAUAUGAGAAGAGAACAAAUGAAUCUUAAGGAAGUGCGUUUAGCAAUUGCAGAAGCAGGUAUGCCAUGGGAUCCUGAUAAAUGAGAUGGGGAUGGUUGGGAUUUGGUGUGUUCUGUAGAGUCUGGUUCCUCAGAUGGAGUUUUGAGUGUAAAACCAUUGUGGAGAAAGGAGAGUUGAAUUUGAUGCUGCUGGGCAGCCAGUGAGGAAGGAUGUGGUAGAGCCUUGUACUUGGUAUGAACUAAAUUAGAUAAUGGAGCAGUUUAAAGGCCAGGGGAACCUCGGUUUUUUGUGGGUGGUGUGUUUGUAUGACCAGGGAGUACUCUGUAUCACUUUAAAUGUAGGAGAUGCUAAAAGGGUUUUUAUCUUGCACAAAGGUGUCCAGGCUAACAUUUGAAGUAAUGACAGGGACAAUAGUUAGUUAACCAUGGCCACUCAAGGACAUAAUGCGAAGUACCCUACAGAAAAUGACUAGUAAUGAAUCAAGGAGGAAGGGAUGAAAUGGGCCUUGUUUUCCUGGGCGAUGCUGGCACUUUGAUCAGAACACUUGGUUGGUUGCAGCGAGGAAUGGAGUGAUAAAAAUUGCCCCACCAGUGUAUAUGACUGUGAUCAUGAUUUUCAGUCAAUGAAACUAGGAACACCCAUAGUGAAGUCACUUAAAAAAGUAAAUAAAAGAAAAAGAAAAAAAGAAACCCAGAAAUUAGUGCUCUUGGGGUAUGGGACCCCUGUGGAAGUGCAGGAAACCGAGGUACCCACAGCCCUUUUAGGGAACGUGAAAGCUGGUUUUCUCUUAGUGAAAUGCUUACAGCUUUGCUGAAAAACAGUUUGUCUUAAGAUGAGACUGUUGGCGUACUGAUCCAGGACUCGCAGAGACUUGAUAAACAAGGGGUUGAACGAACCUAACAGGCAAGUGCAAAAUUUUAAAGCAGCAGUUCUAGAAGCAACUCGGUCUUCAGCACCUCCUCUGAAGCCUCGACGGGACUUUACAUCUGCUCAUGGAGGGCCCCCUGUGAGUGGAUCGACUGUUCCGGGGGAACAGGAGGAUUGGGAGCUGUUUUCUGACUUGCAUCCUUGGAAAGUAACUGGGGAAGUAGUUCAGCAUGAACAGACUGAAACAAUGGUCCACCUCUGGUGCAAUGGGUAUGGAAGGCCCUUUGACGCCAUGUGGCGCUUAGAAUAAUUUGGAGAAACUGGUCCUCCUGAAUUCUAAAAUCCUUCAUUUCCACUGGAUUUGAGGUCUCUUCAAUGAAUGGAAACCCUAAGGCUUUUAAAGGACAGCCCCUAAUUAUUACCCUUUUGGGAGGGAAACAAGUUGUAGCUGUGCAAACACAACUGGAAAUGAAAAUAGGGAAUCUCUCUGGUUGUGUUCUGUUACGUACUCUGGGAUGAGAGCAAUCAGAAUAGAUGUUUUGGAAGGACUGGCCUUGAAUCUCUCUGAUAGCCAAUACCAAUAGGAUGUAAAGAAUUAGGUUAGUGCCCAAACAGUUUUAGUGAGAAGUAUCUUUUGAUUUCUUUAUGAAAGCCACCUGUAUCAAUUCUAGCUGUAACAAAAUAAGUGACCAUGAAAAAAUGUAGAGUGGAGUAGCUCAGAAAUAGGUGGCACUUCUCCCUUGGUUCCUCCUUGAACCCUGGCCAGGUUUUGGGAGAAAACCAACAGGAGACAGAGGAAACCAGAUGUUCCGCCUGACUGUUUCAUAGAUUGGUUUGUUUAGUGAUACAAAAGCUGGACCUGCUUGCAGCGACUAUGGAGACCUCGACUGCGGGGUGGACGCACUGCCGUAGGCCUUCCCAGUUGCCGGGACGGGUUCUCCAGAUCCUCGCUGCAACCAGGGCUCCCCAGCAGCUGCGGAUCUGGAUGGUGGUCAAAGUAGUAGAGGAGUGAUUGGUAGCUAAACUCAAAGUUACAGUACUGCUCAGGUUUGAAAAGACCCUUCAAGAUCAUCAAGUCCAACCACAACCUAACUAGAUUACCUUAACUCUUAACAACUAUGUUAGCUCUAUUUUUUUUUUUUUGCAUCAUUUUGAUAUAGACAGUAAAGUUUAUCCCUUUAGUUGAUGUCUGUGUCUUUUCUGUUGUCCCUGUCAAUGGCAAAAUGAGUCCCUCUGUCCUGGUUCCUUCUUCAGUUCUGCUUUUUGAGAGCCCAGCUGUCAGGAAUUCUGAAAUACAUGAACUCAAUCAGUCAGGGCAAGAGGGCUCUAGAAUAAUUGGUAAGGUGUGCCAUCACCAGCUGCUUCACUUUACUCCCCUUGUCUGUAGCCUUUUUUCACCUGUCCUGCUUUUUUCAGUAUUUCAUGUAAUGACACUGGGGGCCAGCUGGUUAAUGCUGGUGCACAGUGUCCAGGAGCUGCCUAUCUUAGUUGUUGAGCUUCUAGCAGUCUUAGCUAUUCUCAUGUGAGUUCCAGCUCUCUGAGAGGCAGGUAUUCUCUAUCUCUUUACUGUGCUGUUUCCUCAACUGUCUACUAUUUCCUAUGUGAUUUCUGAUUCUAGGUGAUGGAAGAGAGCUUUCUGCUCUUUGUCGAAGCCAGACGUCAGUGCCUGCCGCUAAGGACUCAGACUUGUUCUUUC
ensembl:lncRNA